CAAUUGUAUGCAAGGAAGACAGGCUGGCAUUGGAGAAAAAGAUCCUUGGGCAUGACAAUUCGCAUUCAGUUCAGCCUUUGCCAUCUACUUUGUGGCAUCUAACCAUCAUUUUUA
rnacentral:ncRNA from 1 species